GGAGGUCAUUGGAUCGAUUCUCAUCUGUGGCUUUUCUGUAUGGAGUUUGUAUGUUCUCCCCGUGUUUGUGUGAGAUUCAUCUUUAUAA